UAAACCUACGGGACGCAGCAGUAGGGAAUCUUCCACAAUGGACGAAAGUCUGAUGGAGCAACGCCGCGUGAGUGGAGAAGGGUUUCGGCUCGUAAAGCUCUGUUGGUAGUGAAGAAAGAUAGAGGUAGUAACUGGCCUUUAUUUGACGGUUAUUACUUAGAAAGUCACGGCUAACUACGUGCCAGCAGCCGCGGUAAUACGUAGGUGGCAAGCGUUGUCCGGAUUUAUUGGG
rnacentral:rRNA from 1 species